AAAUAAGUUAAUAAGAAAGAUCUUGAAAUUAAUGACUUGGAUAGAAGUGUUGAGAAUGUAUCAAGUGUGAGUAGUGUGGGUAAUAGUUUUACAUUGGUUGGAAAUAUGGAGACUUGAGCAUUUAUAAAUGAGAUAAUCCACCCACAUAUUCACCUAAAAUCUUAAGGUUUUGGAUGAAUAUGUGGUGUGUCUCUCACAAAUGUGUUGCUCUAAAAAGAAG
rnacentral:lncRNA from 1 species